GUGAAAGGCCAAUCAAACCGGGAGAUAGCUGGUUCUCCCCGAAAGCUAUUUAGGUAGCGCCUCGUGAAUUCAUCUCCGGGGGUAGAGCACUGUUUCGGCAAGGGGGUCAUCCCGACUUACCAACCCGAUGCAAACUGCGAAUACCGGAGAAUGUUAUCACGGGAGACACACGGCGGGUGCUAACGUCCGUCGUGAAGAGGGAAACAACCCAGACCGCCAGCUAAGGUCCCAAAGUCAUGGUUAAGUGGGAAACGAUGUGGGAAGGCCCAGACAGCCAGGAUGUUGGCUUAGAAGCAGCCAUCAUUUAAAGAAAGCGUAAUAGCUCACUGGUCGAGUCGGCCUGCGCGGAAGAUGUAACGGGGCUAAACCAUGCACCGAAGCUGCGGCAGCGACACUAUGUGUUGUUGGGUAGGGGAGCGUUCUGUAAGCCUGUGAAGGUGGCCUGUGAGGGUUGCUGGAGGUAUCAGAAGUGCGAAUGCUGACAUAAGUAACGAUAAAGCGGGUGAAAAGCCCGCUCGCCGGAAGACCAAGGGUUCCUGUCCAACGUUAAUCGGGGCAGGGUGAGUCGACCCCUAAGGCGAGGCCGAAAGGCGUAGUCGAUGGGAAACAGGUUAAUAUUCCUGUACUUGGUGUUACUGCGAAGGGGGGACGGAGAAGGCUAUGUUGGCCGGGCGACGGUUGUCCCGGUUUAAGCGUGUAGGCUGGUUUUCCAGGCAAAUCCGGAAAAUCAAGGCUGAGGCGUGAUGACGAGGCACUACGGUGCUGAAGCGACAAAUGCCCUGCUUCCAGGAAAAGCCUCUAAGCAUCAGGUAACAUCAAAUCGUACCCCAAACCGACACAGGUGGUCAGGUAGAGAAUACCAAGGCGCUUGAGAGAACUCGGGUGAAGGAACUAGGCAAAAUGGUGCCGUAACUUCGGGAGAAGGCACGCUGAUAUGUAGGUGAAGCGACUUGCUCGUGGAGCUGAAAUCAGUCGAAGAUACCAGCUGGCUGCAACUGUUUAUUAAAAACACAGCACUGUGCAAACACGAAAGUGGACGUAUACGGUGUGACGCCUGCCCGGUGCCGGAAGGUUAAUUGAUGGGGUUAGCGGUAACGCGAAGCUCUUGAUCGAAGCCCCGGUAAACGGCGGCCGUAACUAUAACGGUCCUAAGGUAGCGAAAUUCCUUGUCGGGUAAGUUCCGACCUGCACGAAUGGCGUAAUGAUGGCCAGGCUGUCUCCACCCGAGACUCAGUGAAAUUGAACUCGCUGUGAAGAUGCAGUGUACCCGCGGCAAGACGGAAAGACCCCGUGAACCUUUACUAUAGCUUGACACUGAACAUUGAGCCUUGAUGUGUAGGAUAGGUGGGAGGCUUUGAAGUGUGGACGCCAGUCUGCAUGGAGCCGACCUUGAAAUACCACCCUUUAAUGUUUGAUGUUCUAACGUGGGCCCCUUACCGGGGUUGCGGACAGUGUCUGGUGGGUAGUUUGACUGGGGCGGUCUCCUCCUAAAGAGUAACGGAGGAGCACGAAGGUUGGCUAAUCCUGGUCGGACAUCAGGAGGUUAGUGCAAUGGCAUAAGCCAGCUUGACUGCGAGCGUGACGGCGCGAGCAGGUGCGAAAGCAGGUCAUAGUGAUCCGGUGGUUCUGAAUGGAAGGGCCAUCGCUCAACGGAUAAAAGGUACUCCGGGGAUAACAGGCUGAUACCGCCCAAGAGUUCAUAUCGACGGCGGUGUUUGGCACCUCGAUGUCGGCUCAUCACAUCCUGGGGCUGAAGUAGGUCCCAAGGGUAUGGCUGUUCGCCAUUUAAAGUGGUACGCGAGCUGGGUUUAGAACGUCGUGAGACAGUUCGGUCCCUAUCUGCCGUGGGCGCUGGAGAACUGAGGGGGGCUGCUCCUAGUACGAGAGGACCGGAGUGGACGCAUCACUGGUGUUCGGGUUGUCAUGCCAAUGGCACUGCCCGGUAGCUAAAUGCGGAAGAGAUAAGUGCUGAAAGCAUCUAAGCACGAAACUUGCCCCGAGAUGAGUUCUCCCUGACUCCUUGAGAGUCCUGAAGGAACGUUGAAGACGACGACGUUGAUAGGCCGGGUGUGUAAGCGCAGCGAUGCGUUGAGCUAACCGGUACUAAUGAACCGUGAGGCUUAACCUU
rnacentral:rRNA from 1 species